ensembl:lncRNA
GUCCCUUUUCAAGUUCCUUGCUUGGGUAGUCAUUUGGAUUUUGUUCCAGUGUAACUUUUCUCUUUUCAAGUCUUAGUUUCUGUUAUGUAAUGUCUUAGUUCUUUAUUAAAAGUUCUCCCUGUGACCUGCCUCCAGUCAGCAGUGAUACACAAUCUUAUUAUUUAGAGAUGUUCUACUCACAUAGAAGAUGUUCCACAGGCUCCCCCACAGGCUGCCAGCUCCACUGGUACAACAGACCUGCAGUCAUGAACCUGGAGUGAAUCAGCAGGUCCACUCAGCCAGAGAAGUACCAAAACGUCCCAGUAUUUACUUACAGGGAUGCAGUCCUCGGGUCGGAAAUCUGGGCAUCGUAUUUUGUAAUCCACCGGGAUGAACCGAUUGUUUUUAUUUGUACAUUGAUACUUCACACAAUGAUCAACAGGGUGUGACCAAACUUGCCCAGGCUGUCAAGUAGAAAUAAUUUUCUCAGGGUUAGUUGUAUUGAAUAUAGGCACAAUAUAUUGAAUAAAAUACAAUUAACACACAACUUAUAAACGAUCAAUAAAUAAGUACUUUCCAAAAAAAGUUUACGAUUUUAAGACAUUUUAUAUCACAGUGAAUAGAAAAGCCUCGGGCCACAGUAGCUCCAACCCUCUAACUAACUGGGUGUCAUGCCUGCCCUGUUAGCCCUCCUGCGCUAUCAUUCGAUGUGACAAGCUGCCACUGACCAAACACCCUUUUCCCAGCCCAUGCCCUGUUUUCCCCAG